CUCAAUGAAUAAUUUAAUAGCCGCAAUUUACUGUGCUAAGGUAGCAUAAUCACUCGUUUUUUAAUUAAAAACUGGAACGAAAGAUUUAACAUUUUCUCUUCUUUAUUAAAUAUUUAUAUUAAAUUUAUUUUAAAUAUUAAAAAAUAUUUAUUCAUUAAAAAGACGACAAGACCCUAUUGAACUUAACUUAUGUUUAACUGGGGCAGUUAAUUAAAUAAAAUUUUAAUUUAAAAACCAAAAAAACCUAAUAUAAUUAAAUUAACAAGUUACCAUAGGGAUAACAGCGCAAUAAUUUUCUUAAGAUCUUAUUAUAAAAAUUGAUUACGACCUCGAUGUUGAAUUAAUAAUCUAUUAAAUGCAAUAAUUAACAAGAAAGUC
rnacentral:rRNA from 1 species